UGGGACACAAGCAGAGCAUCUG
rnacentral:miRNA from 2 species